rnacentral:rRNA from 1 species
CCUACGGGACGCAGCAGUGAGGAAUAUUGGUCAAUGGUCGGGAGACUGAACCAGCCAAGCCGCGUGAGGGAUGCCGGUCCCGCGUCUCGUCCCCCUCUUUUGUCCGGGCCCCACGGCGGGGACGAGUCCCCGGAUGAGUGUACCUGAAGAAAAAGCAUCGGCUAACUCCGUGCCAGCAGCCGCGGUAAUACGGCGGAUGCGAGCGUUAUCCGGAUUUCUUGGGGUUAAAGGGGGCGCCGGCGGUCUGUUCAGUC